rnacentral:rRNA from 1 species
UGGGGAAUAUUGCGCAAUGGGCGAAAGCCUGACGCAGCCACGCCGCGUGAGCGAUGAAGGUCUUCGGAUCGUAAAGCUCUGUGGAGGGAGAAGAAUAAAGCCGGUGAAGAACCGGCCUUGACGGUAUCCCUUUAGCAAGCACCGGCUAACUCCGUGCCAGCAGCCGCGGUAAUACGGAGGGUGCAAACGUUGCUCGGAAUCAUUGGGCGUAAAGCGCACGUAGGCGGCUACGCAAGUUGGAUGUGAAAGCCCUCGGCUCAACCAAGGAAGUGCAUCCAAAACUGCUUAGCUUGAAUCCCGGAGGGGGCCAGAGAAUUCCCGGUGUAGAGGUGAAAUUCGUAGAUAUCGGGAGGAAUACCAGUGGCGAAGGCGCUGGCCUGGACGGUGAUUGACGCUGAGGUGCGAAAGCGUGGGGAGCGAACAGGAUUAGAUACCCCCGUAGUCC